rnacentral:rRNA from 1 species
GAUGAACGCUGGCGGCGUGCCUAAUACAUGCAAGUCGAGCGAACAGACGAGGAGCUUGCUUCUCUGACGUUAGCGGCGGACGGGUGAGUAACACGUGGAUAACCUACCUAUAAGACUGGGAUAACUUCGGGAAACCGGAGCUAAUACCGGAUAAUAUAUUGAACCGCAUGGUUCAAUAGUGAAAGACGGUUUUGCUGUCACUUAUAGAUGGAUCCGCGCCGCAUUAGCUAGUUGGUAAGGUAACGGCUUACCAAGGCAACGAUGCGUAGCCGACCUGAGAGGGUGAUCGGCAACACUGGAACUGAGACACGGUCCAGACUCCUACGGGAGGCAGCAGUAGGGAAUCUUCCGCAAUGGGCGAAAGCCUGACGGAGCAACGCCGCGUGAGUGAUGAAGGUCUUCGGAUCGUAAAACUCUGUUAUUAGGGAAGAACAAAUGUGUAAGUAACUAUGCACGUCCUGACGGUACCUAAUCAGAAAGCCACGGCUAACUACGUG